GAAGGGCUAUAGCUCAUUGGUAGAGCAUCUACUUUGUGGGCAGAAGGUGCUGGGUUCAAUCCUUGGCAUCUUCA